CAACCAAUCCUCUUCCAAAUUCCAAAACCGUUUCUCCUCAUUAUUCUACGACCUUUCAUCUUACUUUACCUUAAUGACACUUUGUUUUCCCAAAUUGUUUAUCCACUUCAAUGGCGGUUAUGAAAUUGAAACAUCAAAACCACCCUCUCACAAUCCACAAUCCAUUUUCUUUUCUCUUUCUCACUCGGGUAUUUCCACCGUUAUUGCCAAACCUAACGGCACCUUAGGUGAUUUCCUUUCAUCAUCUCUUGGCCGUUGACAGAAUUGAGGUUUCAAUCCUGAUCGUGGAUUCACCCUUAAUUUCAAAACAAUUGGCACCAUGUGUGAGAGGUUAGUUAGUUAGGGGUUCAUACAAAAAUAUAUGAUUGAAUACUGAACUGAACUCUUGUAGUUUGGUGUUUUUAUUAAUUGUAAUGUGAAAUUAGUUUCAAUCUUAUUACUUGAUGAACUAGGCAAUUAUGAAAUAUGCUGACAAAUUCGAUUCAAUUUCAAGUUUGGACUGGUUGGAACUCUCAAGAAAGCUCUUUUACUAUUAUGGAUAUUGACUUAUCCUGUCAGGGAGCUUACUUCACUUAAAUCAGAUCUUUGGAAGGAAAUGGGAUGGCAAGGUUCAAACCCAUCAACAGAUUUUAGGUUGCUUUUGUUGGAUUAUAUCAUGUCGAGUAGUUGUUGGUGUUUUCUAAAACGACGCACACAUUUCCCGUAUUCAUUUAUACGCCUAAGACAUAUUCUUUUUUCAUAAUUUCAUCUCAAAAUGGGGACCCUAGAUCACCAACGUGGCUCUAUACAGAACAUCAAAAUGUCUUGGCAGUAAGGAAUUCUUUUACCUCACCAGUGAUUAGCUUCUUUGUUGUCUGGUCAUCCGCAUGUUGCAAUGGAUCUUACAAACAAAUGACAGGACAUGAGUACAUUGUUUUGUCAAACCAACUCCACCUACUGAGACAAUGUCUAAUGAGCAUGCUAUGCGUUUUCCCUUUGUUGGGAGCGCAAUGUUGUUAUCACUUUUCUUUCUCUUCAAGUUUCUCUCGAAGGACUUGGUCAACACUGUCUUGACACUCUACUUCUUUGUACUGGGAAUUGUUGCCUUGUCGUAUGUCCUUUGCUUUGUACCAUUGUUUUCCUUUUGUUAUUAUGUAGGCAAUAGACAAUACUUUUUAAGGAAGUUUUGUGUGCUAUAUGACACCUUUGUUCCCUGUCUUGGGACAGGGCAACAUUACUACCAUCUAUCAAAAGAUUUUUUUCCAAA